rnacentral:rRNA from 1 species
GCCCUACGGGGCGCAGCAGUGGGGAAUAUUGCGCAAUGGGCGAAAGCCUGACGCAGCGACGCCGCGUGAGGGAUGAAGGUCUUCGGAUCGUAAACCUCUUUCAGCAGGGAAGAACGGUCACUUUGCUAAUCAGCAGUGAAUUGACGGUACCUGCAAAGGAAGCACCGGCUAACUCCGUGCCAGCAGCCGCGGUAAUACGGAGGGUGCGAGCGUUAAUCGGUAGUACUGGGCGGAA